UCUUCCCAGGCCCACCACUUUCAUCGAGUGUCCAUUCGUCUUCUGGUUACGGGGCCAUAGCUCAGCUGGGAGAGCGCG
rnacentral:tRNA from 1 species